GAAUAUGGCAGAAUGUUCUGAAUCAGCUGGGAGAAUUUUCACAUUGUGCUUGUGAGCAAGGGGAAGCACAAAGGGACCUCCAGCAAUCAGGGUCUCCUUGUUUGCUAGGGCUAUAUCCUUUCCCGCCUCAAUAGCAGCUACGGUAGGCUUCAAGCCGGCACACCCAACUAUUCCUGUAACUACCGUGACAGCAUCUGGGUGCCGAGCAACCUCGACAACACCUUCCUCCCCAGGUAUGAUAAUUGGCUUGUAAUCAGCAUCAGCCAGAGCUUCUUUCAGCUCACCAAGAAGCGACUCAUUUCUGACAGCGACCAAUUGCGGCCUAAAUGUUUUCACCUGAUCAGCCAAGAGAGUAACAUUAGAUCCCGCUGCUAGUGCCACCACCCUGAACUUAUCCGGAUUCUCUGCCACUAUGUCCAGAGUCUGAGUUCCGAUCGACCCCGUCGAUCCAACAAUCGAGAUCGGCUUCGGACCGUCCCACGACUUCCGGCCCGGUUCCGAAACCGCCCGGCCAGGCCAAGCCGGCGGAGGCCCCUGUUGCAUGGAGCAGCUAACUCUCUUCAUGCAACUCAUCCCCUUCUCCUUCCUCAUCGCAUGAAUUCCCACUUUGAGGGGGUGGAAGGUGGC
rnacentral:misc_RNA from 1 species